rnacentral:rRNA from 1 species
UACGGAGGGGGCUAGCGUUGUCCGAAGUUACUGGGCGUAAAGCGCGCGUAGGCGGGUUGGUAAGUCCGCUGUGAAAGCCCGGAGCUUAACUCCGGAGGGUCGGUGGAUACUGCCAGUCUUGAAGGUGCUAGGGGGAGAUGGAAUUACCGGUGUAGCGGUGAAAUGCGUAGAUAUCGGUAGGAACACCAGUGGCGAAGGCGGUCUCCUGGGGCAUUCUUGACGCUGAGGCGCGAAAGCCAAGGGAGCAAACAGG